GGUACUCCCUGUAUAUAGCUCCAAAAUUAAUCUGGUACUGGUACUUCCUGUAUAUAGCUUCACAUUGAUCUGGUACUAGUAUUUCCUGUAUAUAGCUUCACAGUGAUCUGAUACUGGUACACCCUGUAUAUAGCUCCACAUAGAUCUGGUAGUGGUACUUCCUGUAUAUAGCUCCACAUUGGUCUGGUACUGGUACUCCCUGUAUUUAGCUGCACAUUGAUCUGGUACUGGUACACCUUAUAUAUAGCUCCACAUUGAGAUUUACUUUCUUUGGUUCCGUCCAGCCCCUUUUCCCCAUAUUACCGUGUACAGGAAUAAAGUCCUUGUAAAACGGUACCACAUUCUGCCUGUUGUCAUUCUUACUCGCACCUACAGUCCAUACCUCUUUCGCUUCACAGAGAGUUUAGUUGUAGCAGGGGGUACAUAUUUACCUCAAAUACCUUAUUAUUAUCUAUCCUGAUGUCUAGUCAAUUUACCCUGCCUUCAUGUACAUAUCUACCUCAAAUACCUUAUUAUUAUCUAUCCUGAUGCCUAGUCACUUUACCCUGCCUUCAUGUACAUAUCUACCUCAAUUAUCUAUCCUGAUGCCUAGUCACUUUACACUGUCUUCAUGUACAGUACCAGUCAAAAGUUUGGACACAUCUACACAUCUAAAAGUUCAUUUGUGGAAUUUCUUUGCUUCUUAAUGCGUUUGAGCCAAUCAGUUUUGUUGUGACAAGGUAGGGGCCCAAUUUGGUAAAAGACCAAGUCCAUAUUAUGGCAAGAACAGCUCACCUUCCAACAGUCAAAAGUUUGGACACACCUACUCAUUCUAGGGUUUUUCUUUAUUUGCAUUAUUUUCUACAUUGUAGAAUAAUAUUGAAGACAUCAAAACUAUGAAAUAACACAUAUGGAAUCAUGUACUAACCAAAAAAGUGAUUACAUUUUAUAUUUGAGAUUCUUCAAAGUAGCCACCCUUUGCCUUGAUGACAGCUUUACACACUCUUGGCAUUCUCUCAACCAGCUUCAUGAGGUAGUCACCUGGAAAGCAUUUCAAUUAACA
rnacentral:lncRNA from 13 species